rnacentral:rRNA from 1 species
GACGAACGCUGGCGGCGUGCUUAACACAUGCAAGUCGAACGGAGUGGCGAACGGGUGAGUAUUACGUGAGUAACCUGCCCUCAACUGUGGGAUAAGCCUGGGAAACUGGGUCUAAUACUGCAUAGUUGGGGAGGGGCACGCGGCCUAUAAGCUUGUUGGGGGGGUGAUGGCCUACCAAGGCGGUGACGGGUAGCCGGCCUGCGAGGGUGGUCGGCCACAUUGGGACUGAUAUACGUCCCAGACUCUUACGGUAGGCAGCAGUGUGUGAUAUUGCACAAUGGGCGCAAGCCUGAUGCAGCGACGCCGCGGGAGGGAUGAAUGCUUGGGGGUUGUAAACCUCUGUCGGUACAGAACGGGUAGUUGCAGAAGAAGCGCCGGCUAACUACGUGCCAGCAGCCGCGGGAAUA